CCUACGGGUGGCAGCAGUGAGGAAUAUUGGUCAAUGGACGAGAGUCUGAACCAGCCAAGUAGCGUGAAGGAUGACUGCCCUAUGGGUUGUAAACUUCUUUUAUAAAGGAAUAAAACGAGGCACGUGUGCCUUUUUGCAUGUACUUUAUGAAUAAGGAUCGGCUAACUCCGUGCCAGCAGCCGCGGUAAUACGGAGGAUCCGAGCGUUAUCCGGAUUUAUUGGGUUUAAAGGGAGCGUAGGUGGAUUGUUAAGUCAGUUGUGAAAGUUUGCGGCUCAACCGUAAAAUUGCAGUUGAAACUGGCAGUCUUGAGUACAGUAGAGGUGGGCGGAAUUCGUGGUGUAGCGGUGAAAUGCUUAGAUAUCACGAAGAACUCCGAUUGCGAAGGCAGCUCACUGGACUGCAACUGACACUGAUGCUCGAAAGUGUGGGUAUCAAACAGGAUUAGAUACCCCUGUAGUC
rnacentral:rRNA from 1 species